CCUACGGGGGGCAGCAGUGGGGAAUAUUGGACAAUGGGCGAAAGCCUGAUCCAGCCAUGCCGCGUGUGUGAAGAAGGCCUUCGGGUUGUAAAGCACUUUCAGUGGGGAAGAAAGCCUUGGGGCUAAUACCCUCGAGGAAGGACAUCACCCACAGAAGAAGCACCGGCUAACUCCGUGCCAGCAGCCGCGGUAAUACGGAGGGUGCGAGCGUUAAUCGGAAUUACUGGGCGUAAAGCGCGCGUAGGCGGUCUGAUAAGCCGGUUGUAAAAGCCCCGGGCUCAACCUGGGAACGGCAUCCGGAACUGUCAGGCUAGAGUGCAGGAGAGGAAGGUAGAAUUCCCGGUGUAGCGGUGAAAUGCGUAGAGAUCGGGAGGAAUACCAGUGGCGAAGGCGGCCUUCUGGACUGACACUGACGCUGAGGUGCGAAAGCGUGGGUAGCAAACAGGAUUAGAUACCCGGGUAGUC
rnacentral:rRNA from 1 species